rnacentral:tRNA from 1 species
CUUUGGCGCUAUAGGCAGCGCAUCAGUCUUGCAAACUGAAGGUCCCAAGUUCGAUCCUCAGAAG